UUAAACAAAAAAAGCUGACUGAAAUUAAUGAUUGAUAAAACAAGAUGUCUCUCUUGGCGUUCCUUCUGACACUGGGAAAUGAAUUAUGUGCCCUUUUACAUCUAAAUUAUUUUUCAAAAACUGUGCAUGUUUAUAACAUUGAUAAACAAUUUAUUACAACACAUUUGUGUGAAGUGUCAAGGAAAUAAUGCCCUUUUGGAAUCCAAAAGACUUUGGCUCAUGCUUCUAGUCCUAGUCUGUCAUUAUUUAAGGCACACAUUUAUAUUUGUUUG
rnacentral:lncRNA from 1 species